UACGGAGGGUGCGAACGUUAUUCGGAAUCACUGGGCGUAAAGCGCGCGUAGGCGGUUUGUUAAGUGGGAUGUGAAAUCCCCGGGCUUAACCUGGGAAUUGCAUUUCAAACUGGCCGACUAGAGUACGGUAGAGGGAGGUAGAAUUUCCUGUGUAGCGGUGAAAUGCGUAGAUAUAGGAAGGAAUACCAGUGGCGAAGGCGGCCUCCUGGAUCGAUACUGACGCUGAGGCGCGAAAGCCAGGGGAGCAAACGGG
rnacentral:rRNA from 1 species